GGGGAAUUUACAUGUGGGUUACAGGGGAGACUAGAUUUUUACAUCAAAAUUAAUUUUGUUUUAUUUGCUCCUAAUUUAUAGGUGAAAAUGCUAUUUUACAUGGAAACCUAUUUUGUUCCAUAAAACUAAAUAAACCAUAACCCAGAAGUGCAAUGAGACACACACAGCAUGACCACAUUAUUUCUGAAAGCUGAAGAGUUGCCAGUCUGUUGAUCUCAAAUUUCAUGAACCACACAGUUCAGUUCAAAUUGUUUCCCUGAAAUUGCUUUGAGCCUCUGCCAAACAGCCACUGAAGGACUCCGAAAAAUACAAGAACUGAAAGGGGCACAUGGCAGAUACAAUCAUAAACUUUCAUUUCGGAGAGCAGUAAAAAAGGAGAAGAAGAACACACUGGUACUCCAACAAGUCAUAGUUUCUGCCAGAUGUUGCAAAAGUGAGUUAGAUAACUGACCUUUCUUCUGGGGCCUGUGUCAACUUUGAAUGGAGCUUUCAAUUGCACAAUAAGCAUCUGGACAGUUUUGACAUCUUUAUAACACUCUUUGAGUUCUUAAAAAGCUACCAUUUUGUUUAAAGAUGAUUUAUGUGAAGAUUAAAACAAUUACUUAAGUGCUAAGAAUAAUUAAUCCUGUAACUCCAUAUCAAUACCAUUAUCUUCCCAGAACUGGGUCUCUAACUACUAAUCAUAAUCAAGACACCAACUGUCAAAUCAAAUCAAAAUUAAAAUUUGAUGAAUUAUUUGAUGAUAUUAACAUUCAAAUCUAGUUCCUUCUUAGGCCUAAUUUUGUCCUUAUGUUUGCUUUGCACUGAAUUAUUGUGGUUUAAAUAGCCCAUUUUAUAUGACAACUUUCAAACAAGAGCAUAAAUUCUCAUAAAAACAGGCUAAGGAAUUCAUAAUGAUAGCUCUUGGCCGCCACCUAAAGGUUUAUUUCUUGUUUUAUUUUACAUGAGACCUACUAUGCAUUCCUUUUAUAAUAAAAUUGUUGUCA
rnacentral:lncRNA from 1 species